CCAACACCUCAGGAUAUGAUAAUGAAGAUGACUGGAAUGAGGAUUACCGCUAUGAGUACUAGGUUUGGAGUCAACCAGUCAAUAGUGUCCCUGUGUGGAGCUUCCGUCGAGAGCGUUGUUUACUUUUUGCUAUCAUUUAUGUAUAAGACUAUGUGAUUUACUAUGUUUCGUUAUGUAAUAAACACUGCAAUGGUACAUUUGAGAUUUGUCUACUUAUGUGUGCGACUGUUUCUGGAGCACAUAUGAGUCUUUUUAUGCAUCCUAUUUUGUUCUUAAAAUAUGGGUGUGACACUGACGACAACAUAAUGGCCGCAGUCACUUAUCAGCUCCUGCAUGGAACCAUGCCCCUACAACCAAUAUAUAUUCAGCUCCAGAUGAUUUUCAGGUCAUUGACAUGGGAGAAGACGAGUAUGAUCCACCCACCAUCCUUGAAAGACCGUUCCUCAACACUAUCAAAGCAAUCAUCUAUAUUGGAACUGGAGAAGUCCGUAUGUACUUCCCCUCUGAGAAGGUACGCAACUAUUUUACUGACCCUAACUAUAUAGUUGAAGACUCUAAGCAGGUCAGGACAAGAAGACGACGCAACCGCAACCAGAGAAGGCAAAUCAUCAAGAACAGAUGGGUAGACUACGAAGGAGAAGUGAUAAGGACUGAAGACAUAAAGCUUAAACAGAACCGUCCCGAGGAGACCGUAGCACCGAGUCAGAAAGAGAAGAUAGUUAUACACGAAGAGGAGGCACCGCCGGAACCACCGACUAUGCCAUCCAGCGAAUCCCAGGACGAGUGAGAAAACGGAGAGUCCCGUUCGGAGGACUUAAAAACACCGAACGCCUUGCCAAGAGGUAAACUUGGUAGUUAUCCUUUUCCUUUCAAUUAUUCAAUUAUAGUUUGCUUAGUUAAUCAGGUUCAUAUCAUCUCGAAAAGAAAAUAAAAAUGUUAAAAAUAGUAAGCCCCAUGUGAGUAUGCUCAUGGCAUAAAACCCAUAGGUACAUUCACUGUGGUGGCAUAAAAUAAAUAUGUUUUCAUCUUACAAUAAAAAUAUAAAAAUAAUAAGUGCAUGAUCCUGCUAAAUAAAUAACAUUUAUUGAGGAGGCUCAACAUGAUAAAGGCUAGAUAUUUAUACUAACACUUAACCAGUUCCACAAAGCUUUGUUGUCUAUUUGAGCUCCACAGAAUUCAAGGAUCAAAGAAGACUAGCAGACGGAGGACAUCCUAAUUGAUGUUAGGGUGCUGCCGACAUUCAAAUACACCUCUACCACCUGCUAGCUACAUCAGAAGAAAUUACGUCAAAAUCCAGCUUGGGGGAGAGCACCCCCAUUUAUCUAGCUAAGUGUUUCUACUCGCGUUUAUACUUUACUCAAAUAAUAAAAGAUGCAUAAUCAUGAAAACCCAAAUAAAGAUUUUGUGCUUUUAUAUAUAUCUUUGCUUAGUUUGCUAAAUAAAUAAAUAAAUAAAGUUUGCUAUGAACCCUCAUGAUAAACUCUCACAUGGAAAUGAUGAAUAGUUGCUCUGCCAUGACUAGUUCUUAAAAUUGAAAUCUCUCUCAAGUUUAGGCAUGACUGUUAUGAAGUAAGAUUUGCUCUAAACCUGAACUUGUGGGAAGAGUACUUGAUCUAAAGUCUAAGUUGUUAACGGAUAUGAUAUGGGAAGGUUGAGCUGCUGUUUAUCUGUUCCUAGAGAUGCUAGAAUUCUGGAGAAUUUUAUCUUUGAAAAAUCUUUAAAAUAUCACAUGAUGAGUUCCUGUAUGAUGAGAGUUUAAAAUCCUACCACAGCCAUAUAUACAUGCUUAUUAGACUUUGAGCCACACAUUUACUUUUUACUGCUUAUGAGCAUUGAGUGUGGUCAAGCUGUGUAGACCCUUAGGAGCUUGUCAUGUGGUUAAAAUCAAGAUUCACUUGCAUGUUCACUCGUAUAUGCUGCUUCUACUCCGGAAGUACGCAUCCACAUACAUCCACUCAUCUCCAUCUCCAGAUUCACCCAAAAUUAUUCUACUCCUAAUCCGGGAGAGAAUAGCCAAAAACAUUUUCCUAUCCCUGUUAUUCCCUGUGAAAUAAAUGCUCCAGUUAUUUUGGUUACUACCACUUGCUACAUUAUUUCAGGAGAUGAGUGCUCUAAAAAUAGAAAAAAAUAAAUAAUAUACGAGGAAAUAAAAAGGGGCAAGUGCCCGGAACCUCGAAAGAAAAGAAAAAGUGAGACGAGAGGUAAAAAAGUGAGAAAAAGUGUCCGAUAGUAGAAUUAGGGGUACAAGAUACCCACCUGAGAGGAAAGAAAAAAAAAAUAUAGAGCAUCUCAUUCUCCUCAAAAAGCUUCAAAGUGCAAGAAAGGUAUGUAUCCCCUUAAAAGAGCAAAAGUAGAAUUAGACUUUCACCAUUGUUAUCACCAUCAUCACCAUACACCAUUCACUCGCCACACAUGCACAUCUUGAUUUGACUUAUUGACUUGUUUCUCUAGAUCCAUGGUUUGACUAUGCAAUAAAUGUCUUGUAAGUAUGUAUUACCUGUCUCCCACCUAUGAGCUCCAGAUAUUAAAACCUUAUUAGAGUAGGGUGAGAGAGAAGGAAAUAUCACUAUGCCUCAUACCAAAAAUACCACAUAUUUUGAGAGAAGGCAUAUACCAUUACUGCCUUAGAAAGGAUCCAGAAAUACCACAAAAGAGAGAUCUGAGAGACUCAUACAAGGAAUCUCUGAGUUUUAUUUUAAAAUCUGCAAGAACUCCAGAGCUAUAGCUGAUCAAGAAUAAGAGACAAGGCGCUUUACUUGACCGUUCUAUCUUUUAACUGCUCAAGACACAAGUGACGGUAACAAGCCCCAUGGUGAAAGGUAAAAUGAGUAAGUUUUAAGUCUUAACAGUUUACUCUAACUCAGAGAUGAGAUCUUGCUUGAAUGCGUGUGUACUUUUAAGGCAUGAAACCACUGUAGAAACUCUUGAGUUCAUCCUUGCUCAGGGACGUGCAAGAGGUAAGCUUGGGGGAGUUGUUGACGGUCCUUAAGUACCGAAUAUAAUCAUCAAAUAAAUAAAGAAAAGGAUCCAAAUGCAACCAACACCCAGACUUAGGGUUUUAUCUGACAGAAUUCCACGAGUUUUGGUGUUUGUCUAUUUCUGCAGGGGGUUAUCAGGAAAUACGGAAGAAAGGCCCACAUGUCGGGAUUAUAUAGAGAUAUCAACGCACCGUGCAAUUUUCUACCAUCUAGAAGACUCCAGAAGCCACGGGAAGAAAGCAGAGGCCGAAAGGGGCCAGGCCCAGGGCGCCCGCCCUGAGGACCUGGGCGCCCGCCCCCUCCUGGAUGCCAAUCAGGACUCUUUUGACACACGACGUUCCACCGACCUAAAGGAUCAAGGAUAACGUAGUACCACAUCGCCUGCUGGACCAAAAAUGCACAGAUGAGGAGGACUAUAUAAGCAGACCCCAUGGCCCCUGGAGGAGACGAAGUUUAUCAUAGAGUUGAGGGGUGCCCUCGAAGGAAAACCUCUUCUCUAAAUAAAAUUUCUUUUUAGGCUUAGCAACCAAUGUGAGUAGAAAUAGAUCUUCUAGUUUCUACUAGAUUGAGAGAGAUAGAGUGGAGGUGUAGAUCGAAGGAAGGCCGGCCUGUCGGUGUCUACUCCGAGGUUGUACCUGCGGGAUCAAGUCUUCUAACUCGAGGCUUGCUCCUAAGAUUCUUCAGUAAUUCGACUUCUAAUUCUAGUAAGUUCUUGUUUUAUUGUUCUUUGGUUUAUGAGUUUACUUUAAUCCUCUUCCGGUUGAGUAUUAGAGUAAUCAUUGCUAGCGUAAACAUGGUGUUUAGGCUAGGGUACUCAUAGAUAUCCCCUGACUAGCUGGACCGUGGUAGUAGCGAGGAACGUGACAUUUCCGAGUUACCUUUGUAUCCCACAUCUCGUUAGCAGGAAGGGUAGGUUUAUAGGUGCGGGUCGAACAUCCUUUGUGGUGUCUAGAUUCCGUAAGCUUCCCCAAUAGAACAGUAGAUCAUCCUUACCAAGGUUAGAACGAGACUACGGUUGCAGUCUUCUCUAUACAUCACUCACAUCGAGAAACAUUCUUUGUAGCCUAAAGGAUAGUAGCAAUAGAUUUGGUUAGUCAGAUGCACCCUUUCUCCCAGUGGUAAAAAUAUAAAUACGAUACUCUGGAAAACCUGCCGGGUGAAAUGCUCACCGAUAUCCGUGCGCUUGCGGAUCAUUUCCUUAUUGUGUUACCAAAUAUCAACAGAGAUGAAGAACGGCGGGCGGUACCAGUCGUCUACCAAUCUUGUAGCAAAGGGUGGCCGCGGCAACAACAACACCGGAUUUCAUGGCAGAGGCCAUGGCAACGGCCACAAUAUGUUCGGUCGUGGCAGAGGAGGCUGCAAUGGUGCAUGUCCUGGUGGUGGCUUCUAGGCUAGCAUGUUUUGCCAGCUUUGCGGCAAGGAAGGUCAUGCCAUCAUCAAGUGCUUCACGCGCUUCAACACCUCCUUCAGUGGACCACCACAGAAAUCGGCGUCAUCUGCCAUCACCUCAUAUGGACUUGACUCCAACUGGUACCUGGAUUCAGGUGCCACCGACCACAUCACCUCAGAACUUGAGAAGCUGACGACCAUGGAUAGGUACAACGGUGGCGAUCAGGUACACGCUGCCAAUGCGAAUGGUAUGAACAUUACUCAUAUUGGUCAUACUACUCUACUUACCCCAUCUAGUCAAGUCCACCUCAAAAAUAUUCUUUAUGUGCCUAAUUCUCAUAAAAAUUUAGUUUAUGUCCAUCAGCUCACUCAUGAUAACAAUGCUUAUAAUGAAUUUUAUCCCACUCAUUUUUCCCUCAAGGAACAGUCGAUGAAGAAAACUCUUCUUCAAGGCAGAUGUGAAGAAGGCUUAUAUCCCUUGCUGUCGUCAUCUAGAUCGUCAUCAAAUAAAGAAGCAAACGGCGCUGUCAAGUCGUCAAAGUCCUUGUGGCAUCAUAGACUAGGACAUGCCUCGUCGCCCAUAGUUAGGCAGGUGCUUAGUCGCAACAAUAUUUUCUUUGUCAAUGAGUCCAAUAAUCAUGUGUGUAAUGCCUGUCAGCAAGGCAAGUGUCACCAGUUACCAUAUCCUAGAUCAACUAGUAUGUCUGCUAGUCCACUUGAUCUCAUUUUUUCUGAUGUUCGGGGUCCAGCACCAGCUUCGGUUGGUCGCAAUCAAUAUUAUUUGAGUUUUAUAGAUGAUCACAACAAUUUUGUGUGGGUUUAUCUCUUGCGUCAUAAGUCACAAGUUUUUCAGUCCUUUCAAGAUUUCCAGCAGCUAGUUGAAAGGAAAUUUGAUCGAAAAAUCAAGGCCAUACAAACCGAUUGGGGCGGGAAGUAUCAAGCCUUGAGUCCAUUCUUUAAGCGGGUGGGCAUAACCCACUUGGUGUCCUACCCACACGCCCACCAGCAAAAUGGCUCUGCUGAACGCAAACACCGACACAUAGUAGAAGUCGGCCUGUCUCUUCUAGCUCACUCCUCCAUGCCUUUAAAAUUCUGGAAUGAGGCCUUUCUUACAGCAGUGUUUCUAAUCAAUAGAUUUACCUUCAAAGGUCAUAGAUGAUGAUACGCCCUAUUUCCGUCUUUUUGGACAGCAACCAAACUACAACAAACUUCGAUCCUUUGGUUGUGUGUGUUUGUCGAAUCUGUGGCCGUUCAAUGCACGAAAACUUGAGUACCGAUCCAAACAAUGUGUCUUUCUUGGCUACAGUACUCAACACAAAGGGUACAAAUGCCUAGAUCCAUCUUAGGGCCGUGAUUAUGUGUCAAGAGAUGUUGUGUUUGAUGAAAAAGUUUUUCCCUUUGCUUCCAUGCAUCCUAACGCUGGUGCGAGACUUAGAGCUGAACUCAGUCUUUUACCUGACAUUUUCCUAAAUCCAUCUAAUGACUUUGUGGAUGUAAGAGUUAAUGGUUCAAUGUUGAGUUCUAUUCCAUCUAACUCAUCUACCAGUGCAGGAAAUGCUUCAUUACCUGUAGGCUUAAUUCCUACUCAAAAUGAUGAAGUAACAAGCUCAUACGGCGUAAAAGACAGGGGUAUUUUAUGUGUCCCCCCACCGGAGGCAGCACACGAGUCGAAGCCGAUCACCCUGCGACUGUAGGCGUAUCUAUCGGUGAAGCAGCUUCGAGAUUGGCAUCUUGGCGGUAGUAGUCUUGUGUCCGCACGAGGGCUGUUGUCACUGUCACGCAGGGUGGGGUCCUCUACAGGAUCGUCUGUGGACGCAAAUCCUACGCUCCAGUCUGGUGAACCAUGUGUGGCCACAGAGACCGAUCCCGUGGUGCCAUCCGAUGCAAAUCACCAGGAGGAUUUGCCGACCGGAUCCUUUGUGGCUUUGGGUGGAUCUGCUACGGCAUCGACGCCAAGAGCUAAUCCUGUGGCUUCCCCACCUCAACCUCGCCAUCAGCAUGGUACACAGCUACACAGUGGCAUCGUCAAGCCCAAGGUGCACAUAGAUGGCACUGUGCGAUGGGGCAUGGUUUCUCAAGUAGUGUCGGAAGAACCUGCUACCAUCCGUGAAGCUCUGUACGACAAAAACUGGGCGUCGCCGAUGCAAGCUGAGUAUGAUGUUUUGCAACGCAAUCACACCUGGCGCCUGGUACCUCGACCACAAGGUAAAAACAUUAGAGAUUGUAAGUGGAUUUACAAAGUUAAACGCAGAGUGGAUGGCACUAUUGAUCGCCAUAAAGCACGACUUGUGGCAAAAGGGUUUAAGCAGCAAUACGGGUGUGGACUAUGAGGACACGUUCAGUCCUGUAGUUAAGGCCGCGACCAUUCAUUUGGUAUUGUCUGUUGUUAUGUCAAGAUUCUGGUCACUUCGUCAGUUGGAUGUCCAAAAUGCGUUCUUGCAUGGUCUACUGGAAGAAGUCUACAUGAAACAACCUCCAAGGGUAUGUCAAUCUACAGUAUCCUGAUUAUGUUUGCAGGUUAGAUAAAGCCCUUUAUGGCUUGAAGCAAGCCCCCAGAGCCUGGUGAAAGGGUCGAGAUGGCGGACUAGAGGGGGGUGAAUAGUACUUUCUAAAACUUAUCGCACCGGCUAACCGAAGUAAGUGCGGGAUUAACUAUCGGUCUAGCCAAGACUACACCCCUCUAUCUAAGUUCUCUAGCACCUUGUAAAGGAUCCUAAACAAGCAAAAAAGGUGCUACCUUAGCAAGAGCUCACCUAACCAAUUCUAGAAGCAAGGUCACACAAACCUAUGCCACUAGUACUUUGCAAACCGGGGAGCUCCUACACAACUAGUAAGCAAAAGCCCAAAGCUCCUAAGCUCACUAGCAAUGCUCAAUAACAAGGCAACCAAUGCCAAAUUAGAGAGCGCAAAAUACUUAGCUACACAAACUAAGCAAUGUGACUAACAAAGUUACACAAACCAAAUUAGUCACGCACGGGGAACUACUUCUAGCUACACAAGCAAGAAGGUAACUAGCAAGCUAAACAAGCUAACUAAUUAUAAGAGCAACUACACAAGCAUAAGUAUAUGAAUGUAAGAACAAGCUUGUGUUAGGGACUUGCAAACCAGCGGGAAGAACAAAGUUGACACGAUGAUUUUCUCCCGAGGUUCACUUGGUUGCCACCAAGGUACGUCCCCGUUGUGUCGACCAACACUUGGUGGUUUGGCGACUAAGAGGUGUUACACGAACCUCGUCCCCACUGGGACACCGCAAGAACCUACCCACAAGUAAGGUAGCUCAAUGACACGCACGAUCCAAUAGAGUUGCUCUUCGCGAUCCCCGCAGGGUGAGCACCAUACCCCUCACAAUCUCUUCUCCGGAGCACCGCACAAUCUCCUUGCGAGCUUCGAUGGAGUCACAAGCCACCAAGCCGUCUAGGAGGUGGCAACCUCCAAGAGUAACAAGCACCACUAGCUUGCAACACGAAGACCUAGUGCCACUCGAUGCAAUCUCUCAAUGCAACGCACUAGAAUCACUCGCUCGUUAUCGAUUUACACUCUUGCAAGCAUAAGUGAGUUAGAGGCUUUCCUAGCACUCCCCAAGCAUGGACACUAAGUCCCAAGGGUGCUCAACCCCAGCCAAGGCCGGCCAACACUUCUAUUUAUAGCCCCAAGGGCUAAACUAGUCGUUGCCCCUUCACUGGGCAAAACAUGUGGGUACCGGACUCACUUCAAGGAGCCACCGGACGCUCAACCCUAGCGUUCGGUGCUCAAGCGACAGCCACGUGUCACUAGCCAUUUGAAAUCGACCGUUGCCGCCAAUGGCUACCACACGCUCGUGCCUGACAUAGCACCACCGGACGCUCUGCAGGUCCACACCAGAUGCGUCGGUGCACACCGGACCCGUGCGCAGAGAGCUCCGCAAACUCGCAGGGUCACCGGACGCGAGCCACCGGACGCACCCUGAGCGUCCGGUGCUCUUCAGUCAGAGACCACUCACGCACAAUUGCUGACGUCAUUCCACACCGGACACGUAGACAUUAACCGCCCCGCAUCCGGUGCGCUCUGCACACCUGAGCCACAGACUGCCACCACACCAGACGCUCUGGACCAACGUCCGGUGCUGCCAACACCAGCGUCCAGUGAGUGUUUCUCAGCGAGAAACACUCCCACGACUUCUCCAAACUUCCCACUGAACCACCAAGAGUACACCACCAUGUGCAUGUGUGUUAGCAUUUCACAAACAUUUUCCCAAAGGAGUUAGCCUCUGAAACUUGCCACGCCACUUGAUCCUAACACGUACGCAAAGUUAGAUCACUCAAGUGGCACUAGAUGACCGAUAUGCAAACAAGUUUGCCCCUCUUGAUAGUAUGGCCAUCUAUCUUAAAUCCGGUCAUAAACUUCUCUACACACCUAUGACCGAUGAAAUGGAAAUGCCCCUAGGUUAUACCUUUGCCUUGCGCUUUCGAUUCCAUCUCCUCCAAUGUUGAUGCAACACAUGCACCAACCAAUCAUCAAAUGAUAUGAUCCACUUCAUAUCAUCAUGUGACCGUAUUGGUUCAUCGAUCUUGACCUCACUUGCUCUUCACCAUUGCCUCGGUCCAUCGGCGCCAAGUCUUGCUCAAGCUUCACCGUCACACGCGGUCUCUCGCUUCAAAACCUCCGACUUGCCCUUCACUCUUACAACCGGUCCAUCAAGCCAAGCCUCAUCUUGAUCUUCUCCACCUUGGUCACAUGACUCCAUGUCAUGUAUCAUGUGCAAUGAGCUCCUCCAUCAUCACAUGAUCACUUGUGGACUAAUCUCCUGUGUAUCUCACAUAAACACUAUUAGUCCACCUAAGUUGUCACUCAAUUACCAAAACCAAACAAGGGCCUUUCAAUCCCCCUUUUUGGUAAUUGAUGACAACUCUACAAAGAUAUGGAAAAUAAGCUUUUCAAGCUAGCACUUCACACAAGUGUAAAUUACUAACUUGGUUCAGAUUUUAUGCUACUUAUCCAACAUUUAAGCUCUAUGUCAAGAUUUGGAUAAGCACUACAAAACCCUACUAAGUGCUAAGGUGUAUAGAAUAAACCUUUGUAUCUCGAUACCAAAUUCGAUAUCAUUUGAAGCAUUCAAUGUGCACCAUCCUUAGCACCAUGUGUAGCUAGACAACAAAACACUAGAAACCCCGUGAGAUCAACAUUAUAAGCAAGGGUCUAGUUUUUACUUGAAAAGCAUAAGUCUAGCUACCAACCUAUGCAUGCUAGUUAUUAUAUCAUCAAUCAAGUUCUAUAACUAGCAUACACCACACAAGCAUGCAUAUUGAAUUUAAAAACUUAUGCAAUACAAGCAAGCACAUGAAUAUACACAAAUCAAAUGCAAUCAAUCAAUGUUCAUGAGCUUGCUCCCCCUACUUGUGUGCUUCUCAUGUUCAAGAAUUUUGAUCCUUAUUGAUCCAUCUUAAUGUUGCUCCCUCUUUAUCCAUGUCCAUCUUUGAUCUCUUCCCUUUGAAACAUAUCUUUUGUUGUCCAACUUAUCCCAUGAUCAUAUAUUUGUUCCAACUUCUCCCCCUUUGUCAUCAAUUUCCAUAAAAGGUAUGUGAUACCAAUUAAAUAACUUCAUACCAAUUGAAAAGUGUGAAUCUCAUUGUGACAAAGGAUUGCAUUGGGAUAGAUGGUUGAGGCUUGAAUCUUGCAUUUUUUAUGGACAUCACCAUAUAUGUUGGAAUGACAUUACUUGAAUUGCUCUUGAGAUACCACAUAGGAUCUUUGACCUUGAUACCAUUGGUGGGGCACUCCCCCUAUGUCAUAGCAUGGGUCAUUUACUUGUCAAUCUUGUUGGUGAGGGAACUUUUCUUUGCUUGAUGACCACUUAAAGUUCAGGAUCACUUGUGGAACCACCUUCUUGUAUGAUAGAUACCAUAUGUAUAAAUGUGAUAUCACUUGAAAUAUCUUGUCCGAUACCAUAUGGGAUUCUUCUACCAAUUAAGGUCUUCUAGUAUGGAACCACUUGUUUGCUAUUCUUGAACAUUUGCUAUCUUGAGUACCAAUUGUAGGAUACCAAUUGAAGAAACAUUUGAGUCUAGAUAUCCAUUUGUAUUGUUGUCUUGUUCUUGUACUCUAAUCAUCAUGAGCUUCUAAUUGUAGACUUGAACUAUGUUGAUUUGCCUAAGUUUUCAAGUCCGGUUUGAACCAAUGACAAGCUUUUUCACACCUCAUAUUAAGGGUUAUCUUGCCAAUGUUGUACUUGUUAGCAAUCCAAAAUAGAUCAUGUACUUGGGUUCACUAGCUCAUGAAUAAACUCAUAUACAUACCACUAGAUCAACUAAUCAUUCAAGCAAUAGUGGUAGGUUAUGAAUUUAAAACUUUUCAUUUGUCAUGCAUGAUCCUAUUAAGCAUGUACUAUAUGCACUAACCGCAUAUUAGUAAGGGAUGAAAUGAUCAUGCACAUUACAAUGAUACCUUUGCUAUGUUGGAGAAGAGGAUAGUCACAUAGAUUCCAAUUCAUUUCCCCAAUAGCAAUGUGAAGUCCAGUUAAUAAGCUUGGUGAAGACCAAGUAUAAAUGCCAAUUGAUAGAUCAAAUCUUCACCCAUAUGAAUGGAGAACCACUUAUUGAUCAAGUGCACUAUCUUGUUGUGGUUGGCUUGCUUCAUCUUUUCUUGAUCAUUGCUUGCAUGAGAGAACUACUAAGAAUACCAAUUGAAAUAACAUGACUAGCUCUCUUUUGGGUGUUGCUUGCUCCCUUGAUCAAUCCUUUUGAUUGCUUCAACUAAGCAUCUCAAAUGUUCUUUGGAUCACCACUUCCAUGUUAGCCUUCCAAGCACCAUACUGAAAGGUCCUAAUAUGGGUAGAGGGGGGGGGUGAAUAGCCUAUUUAAAAAUUCUACAAAACUCACUAGAGCAAGUGGUUAGUAAAUAAGAAAGCGUAGCUUUUUGCUCUAGCUCUAAUGAGGUGUUUGCAGGCCACCUAUCCAACAAUUCUAGUUGAUAUGAUCACUAGGCACACAAGAGCUAAGUCACUACUUACACUAGAGAGGUAUCUAAAGUUUCUAUAUAAGUAAGUAAGCUACUCUAGUUUGCGGGAAUGUAAGAGAGAUGGUUUGAUCUUUAUACUGCCGCGUAGAGGGGACGAACCAAUCAAUAAUAUGAAGUCCAAUCGCCGGGAGAAAUCCAAUCACAAACACAAUGGAGACAAACAAUUUUUCUCCCGAGGUUCACGUGCUUGCCGGCACACUACCCGUUGUGUCGACCAAUACUUGGUGGUUCGGCGGCUAAGAGGUGUAGCACAAACCUCGUCCUCACUAGGACACCGCAAGAACUAACCCACAAGUGAGGUAACUCAAUGACAUGAGCAAUCCACUAGAGUUACCUUUUGGCUCUCCAUCGGGGAAGGUACAAGACCCCUCACAAUCAUCGGGAGAUGGCCACGAACAAUCACCAACUCGUACCAAACCUCCUCCGCUGCUCCAAGCCGUCUAGGUGGCGGCAACCACCAAGAGUAACAAGAAAACCGUAGCCAAAUUGAUCCCCAAGUGCCACUAGAUGCAUUCACUCAAGCAAAUGCACUUGGAAUCACUCUCAAUCUCACAAAGAUGAAUAAUCUAUGAAGGAGAUGAGUGGGAGGUGUUUGCUUAGGCUCAGAAGAAAGUCAAGUAUGCUAGAAUGCCAAGAGGGUGAGCCCCAAGCCGGCCAACAACUAUUUAUAAGCCCUUCAAACAAAUAGAGCUGUUGGCUCUUUCACUGGGCAAAACUAGGGGUCACCGGACGCUCUUAAAGGGGCACCGGACGCUCAACACCUGCGUCCGGUGCUCAAAAGUCAGCCACAUGUUAGGGUCUAACGGUAACCUGCAGAGCACCGGACGCUGAGCAAGAUGCCACCGGACUAAAACUCAGGGAGGUCUGCAAAACGCACAGGGCACCGGACGCUGAGCAGCGGACCGUCCGGUGCGCACUGGACUUAAACCCAGGGAGGUUUGCAAACUGACCAUACACCGGACACGUACCACAGGACGCACAAGCCUAAACCCUAAACCCUAAACCCUGAACCCUAAACCCUAAACCCUAAACCCUGAACCUAUCCUGUCUCUACCCUUCAAACUCCACCUCCUUCUCAAAGUGUGCCAACACCACAAUGUGUAAACCAACAUGGGCACGUGUGUUAGCAUUUUCACAAUCAUUUUCUUUGAAGAAGUUAAGUUAGCUCACUAGGUUCUAAAUGCAUGCACAAGAACAAUGACACCUAGUGGCACUUGAUAACCGCUUAGCCAAAGAAUUCCCCUCGGCUAUCUAUCCUAAAUGUGAUCACACCCUCUACGGUGUCUUGAUCACCAAAACCAAAACCCUAAGCAAUACCUUUGCCUUGAUCUUCAUAGGGUUUUAUUUUUCUCUUUCUUCUUUUCCAAGUUGAGCAGUUGAUCAUCUUGUGGUCAUCACCAUCAUCACCAUGAUCAUCACUUGCUCCAUCACUUGGCAUGUACCAACCUCAUUAAGUCUACACACACUUAGUAUAGAGGUUAGUAUUAGGGUUUCAUCAAUUAUCUAAAACCAAACUAGGGCUUUCACAUACUUGGUUUACCCACUUCUCAGGCGGCACGCCCCUCACAUAGGGAGAAGUGACCUCUCUCCAAAGAACUAUUUUUGAUACUCACUUGAAUUGCUUUGAUUGAUUGAUUCAAGUGACGGACUUAAUAUGAUGAGUAACCAUGAAUCCCUUUUUUAAGUCCUUUUCUUUCUACUUGUUUAAGUCCUUUUCUUUCUACCAAAUGAUUUCCAAUAGUUACUAGAACUUAAACUUCAUCUUCAUCUUGAGUUUGAUCUUGAUCUUUAAUUUGAGUACUAAAUGUGUACACCAAGUACAUUCUACAAUCAAAUGACCUUGUACUCAUUACUUGUCAUGCUUCUAGAUCAAUUCAAAACCAAACUUAGGUGCCUCAAACACUUAUAAUCAUGUUUCCAACUUGAGGACCUCUCAAUUGAAGUGACUCUAGAUCAAUCCAAUAAUUGUCACUUUUGUGGCAGAUGCUGUACCCUUUAAAGAAAUAUCCAUAUCUCACAAUGUACAGAUCCAAAUGCCACGAAAUUUGGUGGAGAUGUGGUUCACUAAGUCGUCUAGCAUCUGUAAAAAUGUGAGCUUCACUUGACUUCUAGAUUGCUACCAGAUUUCAAUUCUUCCACCGUUGCUACAUGCUGAAAUCUGCUGCACUAUAGCUGAUAAGAUCCACUCCAAAACCGAAGUAUCCCUUAUACAAUUCUCAUGAAAUUUCUACAGCAUCUUCUAUUAUAAGUGUACAGCAUGCGUACCAAAUUUCAAGCCACUCCAAAUAGAUUUGAUAACUCAAACUCAGAAUUGAUCACUGCUAGCUCAAUUUUUCAAAAAUGGACAGAUUUCAAGCAAUUGAGCUAUACUUGUUCAAAUUGAACCAAACUUGAAAUCAACUUGAUUGAAUACUUUCAUAAGACAUAUAUCCAUUCAAUCCACUUACUAAAAGUCAUCUCAUGAACUUAUUCAACUCAAAUCAAUCCAAACUUGAUUACUAAUCAUUUUAUCCAUUCAACCAUCUUAUAACUAGCAACAUUGCAUAUAUAUCCAAUUCAAUCAACUCAUAUGCACCCAAAUGAAUGUGGUCAACAAAGAUAUACCUUAGUUAGCUCAUGAUCAUCUAAUUUGCAAGCUUCAACUCAUGUAUUUGCAAGCCAUCAAAUAAUCCAAUAAAUCACCACAACUUGAAUGUGACACUUGUAUGUUAUAGCACAUUUGGACUUCACUAUCUUGUCAUGGCAUUGGGUUUGGAUGUGCACUAGGCUUCAAUACUUGACUCAAUCAUAUGAUGAAAAAUUAUAGGAUCAAUUUGAAUCAAGCCUCCAAUGUCGAUGGUACCUACAAACAAUCAUCCACUAUUUGAUGGUACCCAAACUAGUUUGGGUCCUCUCAAGUUAGGAGCAACAUACUUAGGCAUAGCCUUAGUAUGAGUAGCGGGAUGUUUUGCAAUAGCAACCAUAGAGGUUCCAUCACCAUCCUUUCUAAGCAUAUUAUGGUUAUCAAUUGAAAUAGGCUUAGAAAUAUUACCUAGGGGACAUGAAUGAGCCAUGUGUCCCCUUUCCCGGCAUAAGUAGCAACUUCUCUUUGAUUGAGCCUUUUCUUCCAUGCUCAUGUGUUGCUUCUCAUUGCCUUGCCUCAUGAGAGUUGCUUGAGCCUUCUUCUCAAGCUUGGUAGGACACUUCGAGGCAAAGUGUCCAUCAUUCUUGUAGUCAAAACACAUGAUGUGAGCAUAAGCUUUCUUCUUGUCUUGAUUCUUGCUCAUCAUCUUGGCAUCUUGGAUUUGCAUUGGAUGCCUUGCUCUUCCACCCCUUCUUGUCUUCUUAAUAUUUGGGCAACUAUUUGCAAGGUGUCCCGCUUCACGGCACCGAUAGCAUAUGGUAUGAGAAAACUUCUUUUGAUGGAGCUUCUUUAUCCUCUUUUCUUGCUUUCUCUCGCCCUUUGUCAUCUUCUUCUUGAAGCUAAGGCCACACUUGUCACCAUAGUUUCUUUGAGUCUUCAAUAUGUGCUCAAAGGUGACUUUUGAGUAGUAGCACCUCUCCAACUUGUUGCUCAAAAUCUUCACUUGUUCAUUAAGCUCAUUGUUCCCCUUCAAAAGGUUAGUCUCACAAGACAUAGAAGUAGAACAAGCAUCUAUAUGUGAAGAACAUGGCAUAGAUAGUAAAUCAUGAGAAGCGGUGGAUACAUGCUUCUUCCCUACAUCACAAGGGUUAGUAACAAUAUGUGAUUGAUCGUUUGACCCAAGUGAUGAGCUCUCACUAGUUUUAAUUUCAUUAGAAAUCUUCUUAGUGAGAAAAGCAUUUUUUUUGCCAAGUUAUCAUGAGUAAUGUUGACACUAACUAACACCACUUAGAUACUAGGUUGUCAUCCCCAGCAUGGUGCCAGAGUGUACAAAGGUAUUUAUAAAUGUAAAGGCUCUCUAGAAAAUAAUCUAUUCUAUCCGCAAGCGCACAGAUAAAACACCUCAUUGUAGCAUUUCACCAGGAUAAGUAUUCCAGGUAUCGUUAUUUAUAAUUUUGCUUAAGAAGACAAGGGAUGAAAUUAUGAUAAGGACAAAAUUUAUCAAGGCAUAGAUGUUGACGGUCCUUAAGUACCAAAUAUAAUCAGCAAAUAAACAAAGAAAAGGAUCCAAAUACAACCAACAUCUAAACUUAGGGUUUUAUCUAACAGAAUUCCACGAGUUUUCGUGUUUGUCUAUUUCUGCAGGGGGUUAUCAGGAAAUAUGGAGGAAAGGCCCACACGUCGGGUUUACAUAGAGAUAUUAAUGUGCCGCGCAAUUUUCUACCAUCUAGAAGACUCCAGAAGCCAUCGGAACGAACGGGAGGCCGAGCGGGCUCGGGGGCAGGGCGCCCGCCCUCCCCCCUUGGGCGCCCGCCCUGCUACAGUGGCCAAUCACGUUCAACCUCGCGGAUUAUGCUCCACCGACCUAAAGGAUCAAGAAUAACCGUUCAAUCAAUGUCAGUUUGAUCCGACGGCCUAGGUUCACUUGAGGGGACUAUAUAAGCAGACCCCCUGGCCCCUGGAGGAGGCACCCCUUGAUCAUUAUUCAUUAUUCAUAGAUAGAGCAAAAGCUAGGGUUUAGAGAUGAGAGCUCUCCUCUCUUCUCUAAACUAGAGUAGAUCUAGAUAGUAGUGAGAUGGAGAGCGAAGGAGGAUUAGAGGAGAGGCCGGCCUGUCGGUUCUUCCUCCGAUUGUACUUCGCCAUGAUCAAGCUCUAAUCAGGCUUGCUCAUGGGAUGACUCUGGUAAUCUACUUCUAAUUCAUUAUGCAAUUACUAAUCAUGUAUGUUCUGGUUCACAACACUUUUGAGUACUUCUAAUCUAUAGGACCCUAUAGGUUAGAGUUGUAGUAUAGGUGUAAGCGUGGUGCUUAGACCUAGAUUACUUGUGGAUAUCCCCUGUCUAGCUGGAUCGUGUGGUAGGCCGCGUAGGUGACAGUUACGUUGGUCCUCUGUAGUCCACCUCUCGUUAGCAGGACGGGUAGGGUUUAUCGGCCUAAGGAUAAGCGUCCUUUGUGGUGUACUCUUAUCACAUGGUUCGUCCCAGACAUAGACAUACCCCUUUGAAGUAGAGAAACCAUAGUUAUCCUCUCUAUUCUGCUACCAUCGCCCAUAUACUAGAAUUGCUCUACUCUCUAUUCCCAUAUUAUCACUCAUUGUUAUCUUACCUUUAAUAUUGUUCUUAUUCAAUUCUACCAUCUUUCCUAUUUACACUUAUCUAUCUAUCUUGGUUAAGUUAGAGCGUAGUUGGUUCUCGCGUUUCCCUGUGGAUACGAUAAAACCUUUAAUCGGGUAAAAGCUUCAACGGUAUCCGUGCGCUUGCGGAUUAUCUGUGUGUGUAUAAAUACCAUAGUACACUCUAGUGCCAUGCUGGGGAUGACAACCUAGUAUUGAAGUGGUGUUAGCAAGUGUCAACAAGCAUUUUUGGCGCCGUUGCUGGGGAAACGGUUGCUGAGUUGACUACGAACUAGCUUAAUCAUUUUUUAAAAAAUAAAAAAAAUAUGUAUUCCUUUUAUCCUUUGCCUCAUCUCUGCUAUUCUUUCUUCUUAUCUAAUCCUUGAUCUCUGGUCUAUCAUGAAUUCAAACAUGUCUAUCUAUGAAUUUCAUAGACCUACGGGCACACAUCUCGAACCACCAAAAUCUUCAAAGCCUAUCAUAGCAUCUAGUUUUGAGAUAGACCCCGAAUACAUAGAAUUUGUUCAAAAACAACCUUUCUCAAGAGAAGGUGAAGAAAACCCAUACACACACCUAAGAGAGUUUUAUCGAGUCUGUGACCUCCUCCGCAUAGAAGGCAUGUCCGAUGAGACCCUUAAAUGGAAGCUCUUUCCGUUCUCUUUAACAGGAAAAGCUAGACAUUGGUACAAACUCAAAGUAAGGAGUGUUCAUGGAGAUUGGAAGGAGUUAUAUAGUAGUUUUCUUUCUAAAUAUUUUCCAAUCUCCAAAGUGGUGGAACUUCGGCGUGAGAUUCUUUCUGUUAGACAACUGGAAGAAGAAUCUCUCGGCAAAUCAUGGGACCGCUUUAUUAACCUUACUCUCACUGGCCCAAAGUUUUUUUAUUCCAGAAGAAGUUCUUCUAAUUCAUUUUUUUGAGGGCCUUAGUAGGGAAGAUAAGCAAACCCUUCAUGCGGCCUAUGGAGGAUCUUCCCACCACCUAUCCGCUAGUGAAGCUUGGAAUUUGAUUGAUUUAAUGAGCGGAAAGUCUCCUAGCUUUAAUAUCCCUGAGAAAGAGAAAGAACCAGUCCCUAGACAAGAAGAAGAAGUUUCGAUAGCCAGAUCACAACCACUUCAAUCCCAAACUUUAGCUAUCGAUCCUAAACCAUCAAUACCCCAAAAUUCUCCAAGGGAGGAAGGAAUUUCGACCUUAAAUCUUUCAGAUGCUGAUGGUUUAGACUUCUGGUUCCAUAAGAGACCUUCAAACAGGGAUAAUUCAAAUCCUUGCAAUAAUGUUUCUCUUAGAGAAUGUCCUGGUUCCUGUCAUGAAGACCAUAAGGAUGGCAUGUCAAGUAAUGCCAUAGAAGGAUAGCUAAGCUAUAUAGAAGAUUCUAUCAGCUCCCCUUUCCUGAUCACAAGUUCCAAAUGGCUAGAAUGUGUAGAAUGGAUGGAUAAGGAAGAAGCCUUAAUGGAUUCUGACUUUGGCUCAAUUUCAAAUGGUGAGUUCUUGACUCCCUUUGAAAAUGGGAUUCAUCCAACUAUAGAAGAGGACAUAAGUGAGACCAAUCCAGGAGAAACUCCGAACAUUCAGAUUGAAGACGAAGUUAACAUUAAUGAGCAUGGAAUUUAUUUCAUAGCCACUUCAUUUACUUCAUGCUCAUAUGCAACAUGUUCCCAAUCUAUUGGUCUCUCCAACAUCACCACAUUUGAGAUCAACAACCCCCUCUUCCUUUCUAUUUAUAAAAACUUUAAAAGGGCUGUUGUCGAUGCAUAUGUCUAUAAUAAAUAUUGCAGAUCUCGUUGAGUUGAUCUUGAUAUAGGUUAGCGUUGGAAGGGAAACCACUUCGCCGACAUAAAUUGAUGGUUUCCCAAGGACAAGCUUAGUGUCCUAAAAUAAGCACUGAUCAGAUCAUAACAUGAGCUUUUAAUUAUUUGCAACAUUACCUUGUGUAUUGAGCAUAUAAGGAUAAUUGUAAAAAUAUUCCUUCGGGUAUUCUUGUCACUAACCUUUCCAGGAUUGGAGCAAGAAGAUUGGAUGAAUGACAAGCUCAAGUUAUGUCCAACCAAUCAUCAUACAACAUUGAAAUUCAUCCAAACUUGAAUUUUGCAAAAUUCAAGCUUGGGGGAGUACUUUAUAUAAAAACAUCCUUUGCCAUGUUGCUAUGCUGGUUGUCCCUACCUUUGUGCUACAUGCUCAAUUUGUUAAGUACUAAUCACACUACUCUAUCUCCACUUGAGUAGAUCUCUAUAAAUGCUGUCAUGCUACCUUUGUCUAUUUACUAGCAAGUGUUGGUUUGGAAGUACUCGACAUACUUCCAUUGGCAUUUAAAUUGAGCAUGGUGCUUAGGUUAAAUAGUCUUCCUUAAUCUGAUUAGACAUGGAGUCUAGUUUGGUUACUGAACUAAAAACUGCUUGAGUAGAUAUUGGUAUAUUUUGUCGGACUAACCCCUGCAAGAAAACUUUCAAUAUCAACCUGGGAAGUCCUGAGAUAAACUCACAUUGGAGACAAAGAGAGAGACACAUCAAGUUUAACAAUUUACACAAGGAGGACGUAGCUCAUAAGAGAUGAUCCAUGGAGGGUGCCACAAACACGAUGCACAACCACUAAGAAAGGAAAGCUUCCACAAGGUGAUACUGUACCAUCACUUUUCAAGUAAGGUAACAUCUUAAGGUACUUGACUAUCAUUUUAUAAGCUUCUCCUUGGUUCUGGCAUUCAUAUGAAUAAAAGAGACAAACAUGUAUGAUUUACAACUCUAGAUUAACCAACCCAAUCGAUUCAACAUGUUUAGUCCUACUACCUCCAUGAUCCCACACUCCUAAUCAUAUGAGCUAAAAUGUUGCACAUUCAACCUUUGGCAAGAUAUAAAGAAAAAGACAUAUACAUAGAUAGAUUAUCUUUCUAUAAGGUUGAGCGAUCUGAUCUGACAAAUGUUAUAAGUGCUACACUCAUGAACUUAUCAUCCAUCAAUUUUGUCUUGCUCACUAUGCUUAAGGUUAGAGAAGAACAAAUACACUUUUGGUUCUGUUGGUGUUUUCCACCAACAGGGCCCAUGCACUUGAUCUCUGCCUUGUCUCUAUGAGCAGGUACACUUCGAGCAAAAUAUGGAGGAGUUUUACAACUCCCAGACUCCACCAAGUGAAGAACCUGGAUCUACGAGCACAAACACACUGAGUAGGAUACUGCCAACGCCACACUUCGAACUACUGGGCAAACGAAGAACAUGAGUGACACCGUAUCAAGAGGUGCAGACAUCAAGGUCCGCACCUGAAUCAAAUGACGCACCUAAAGAAUGAACACGGUGAGAAGUCUUGUUCAGAAGACUUAAAAUAUUGAACCCUCACCGAAAGGUAAAAUCGGUAGUUAUCCAUAUUUAUCCUUUUUGCAUUCCCUUUUCCCUUAAAUUAUUUACUUUCCUUAAAUGGCUUGUUAGUUAAUCAUGCUAUCUUGAAAAAAAAUAAAAAAAUGUUAAAAAUAGUAAGCCCCAUGUGAGUAUGCUCGUGGCAUAAAACCCAUAAGUACAUUCACUGUGGUGGUGUAAAAAUAAAAUAAAUAUAUUCCUGUCCUAUAAAAAUGAAAAUAUAAAAAUAAAUUUAUGAUCCUACCAAAGAGAGUAACAUUUAUUAAGGAGGCUCAACAUGAUAAAGGCUAGAUAUUUAUGCUAACACUUAACUAGUUCCACAAAGCUUUGUUGUCUAUUUGAGCUCCACAGAAUUCAAGGAUCAAAGAAGACUAGCAGAUGGAGGACAUCCUAAUCGCUGUGAGGGUGCUGCCGACAUUCAAAUACACCUCCAUCACCUGCUAGCUACAUCAGAAGAAAUUACGUCAAAAUCUAGCUUGAGGGAGAGCACCCCCAUUUAUCUAGCUAAGUGUUUCUACUCGCAUUUAUACUUUACUCAAAUAAUAAAAAUAUACAUAAUCAUAAAACCCCAAAUAAAGAUUUUAUGCUUAAAUAUAUAUCUAUGCUUAGUUUGCUAAAUAAAUAAAUAAAUAAAGUUUGCUAUGAACCCUCAUGAUAAGCUCUCACAUAGGAAUGAUGAAUAGUUGCUCUGCCAUGACUAGUUCUCAAAAUUGAAAUCUCUCUCAAGUUUAGGCAUGACUGUUAUGAAUUAAGAUUUGCUUUAAACCUGAACUUGUGGGAAGAGUACUUGAUCUAAAGUCUAAGUCGUUAACUGAUAUGAUAUGGGAAGGUUGAGCUGCUGUUUAUCUGUUCCUAGAGAUACUAGAAUUCUGGAGAAUUUUAUCUUUGAAAAUCUUUAAAAUGUUGCAUGAUGAGUUCCUGUAUGAUGAGAGUUUAAAAUCCUACCACAGCCACAUAUACAUGCUUAUGAUACUAUGAACCAUACAUUUACUUUUUACUGCUUAUGAGCAUUGAGUGUGGUCAAGCUGUGUAGACCCUUAGGAGCUUGUCAUGCGGUUAAAAUCAAGAUUCACUUGCACGUUCACUCAUACAUGCUGCUUCUACUCUGGAAGUACACAUCCACAUACAUCCACUCCUUUCCAUCUCUAGAUUCACCUAAAAUUAUUCUACUCCUAUCCGGGAGAGAAUAGCCAAAAACAUUAUCCCAUUCCUGUUUUUCCCUAUGAAAUAAAUGCUCGAGCUAUUUUGGUUACUACCACUUGCUACAUUAUUCCAGGAGGGUGAGUGCUCUGAAAAAAAAGUGAAUACGAGGAAAUAAAAAGGGGCAAGUGCCUGGAACCUCGAAAGAAAAUAAAAAGUGAGACGAGAGGUAAAAAUGGACAAGUGUCUGACAGUAGAAUUAGGGGUACAAGAUACCCACCUGAGAGAAAAGAAAAAAAAAGAAAGAGAAGAAAGAAAAUAUAGAGCAUCUCAUUCCUCUCAAAAACCUUCAAAGUGCAAGAAAGGUAUGUAUCCCCACAAAAGAGCAAAAGUAGAAUUAGACUUUCACCAAUGUUUUCACCAUCAUCACCAUACACCAUUCAUCCGCCACACAUGCACAUCUUGGUUUGACUUAUUGACUUGUUUCUCUGGAUCCAUGGUUUGACUAGGCAAUAAAUGUCUUGUAAGUAUGUAUUAGUUGUCUCCCACCUAUGAGCUCCAGAUAUCAAACCUUAUUAGAGUAGGGUGAGAGAGAAGGCAAUAUCACUAUGCCUCAUACCACAAAUACUACAUACUUUGAGAGCAGGCGUAUAUUAUCACUGCCUUGGUAAGGAUCCAGAAAUACCACAAAAGAGAGACUAGAGAGAGUCAUACAAGGAAUCUCUGAGUUUUAUUUGAAAAUCUGCAAAAACUCCAGAGCUAUAGUUGAUCAAAGAACAAGAGACAUGGUGCUUGACUUGACCGUUCUAUCUUUUAACUGCUCAAGACACAAGUGACUGUUGCAAGCCCCAUGGUGGAAGGUAAUAUGAGUAAGUUUAAAUCUUAACAGUUUACCUUAACCUAGAGAUGAGAUCUUGUUUGAACGCAUGAGUACCUUUAAGGCAUAAAACCACUGAAGAAAUUCUUGAGUCCAUCUUUGCUCAAGGACGAGCAAGAGGUAAGCUUGGGGGAGUUGUUGACGGUCCUUAAGUACCAAAUAUAAUCAGCAAAUAAACAAAGAAAAGGAUCCAAAUACAACCAACAUCUAAACUUAGGGUUUUAUCUGACAGAAUUCCACGAGUUUUGGUGUUUGUCUAUUUCCGCAGGGGGUUAUCAGGAAAUAUGGAGGAAAGGCCCACACGUCGGGUUUACCUAGAGAUAUUAACGUGAUGCGCAAUUUUCUACCAUCUAGAAGACUCCAGAAGCCACGGGAAAGAACGGGAGGCCGAGCGAGCUUGGGGGCAGGGCGCCCGCCCUCCCCCCUUGGGCGCCCGCCCUGCUACAGUGGCCAAUCACGUUCAACCUCGCGGAUUAUGCUCCACCGACCUAAAGGAUCAAGAAUAACCGUUCAAUCAAUGUCGGUUUGAUCCGACGGCCCAGGUUUACUUGAGGGGACUAUAUAAGCAGACCCCCUGGCCCCUGGAGGAGGCACCCCUUGAUCAUUAUUCAUUAUUCAUAGAUAGAGCAAAAGCUAGGGUUUAGAGAUGAGAGCUUUCCUCUCUUCUCUAAACUAGAGUAGAUCUAGAUAGUAGCG
rnacentral:lncRNA from 1 species